GGCUCAGAACGAACGCUGACGGCGCGCUUAACACAUGCAAGUCGAGCGAGAACCGAGCCUUCGGGCUCGGGGACAGCGGCGAACGGGUGAGUAACACGUGGGUUACCUGCCCCGAUGACCGGGACAACUCGAGGAAACUCGGGCUAAUACCGGAUGUGCCCGCAAGGGGAAAGGAAGCUUCGGCCUCCGCAUCGGGAUGGGCCCGCGGCCCAUUAGCUUGUUGGUGGGGUAAUGGCCUACCAAGGCGACGAUGGGUAGCUGGUCUGAGAGGACGAUCAGCCACACUGGGACUGAGACACGGCCCAGAGUCCUACGGGAGGCAGCAGUGG
rnacentral:rRNA from 1 species